GCGGACGUGGCGAAAUUGGUAGACGCACCAGAUUUAGGUUCUGGCGCCUCGAGGUGUGAGAGUUCGAGUCUCUCCGUCCGCACCA
rnacentral:tRNA from 3 species